rnacentral:rRNA from 1 species
AGGACGAACGCUGGCGGCACGCUUAACACAUGCAAGUCGAACGGAGUUUAGAGAGCUUGCUUUUAAAACUAGUGGCGGACGGGUGAGUAACACGUGAGCAAUCUGCCUUCAGAGGGGGAUAGCAGUUGGAAACGACUGAUAAUACCGCAUAAUAUAGUAGGAUCGCAUGAUUUAACUAUCAAAGAUUUAUCGCUGAAAGAUGAGCUCGCGUCUGAUUAGAUAGUUGGUGAGGUAACGGCUCACCAAGUCGACGAUCAGUAGCCGGACUGAGAGGUUGAACGGCCACAUUGGGACUGAGACACGGCCCAGACUCCUACGGGAGGCAGCAGUGGGGAAUAUUGCACAAUGGGCGCAAGCCUGAUGCAAGCGAUGCCGCGUGAGGGAAGAAGGUUUUAGGAUUGUAAACCUCUGUCUUCAGGGACGAUAAUGACGGUACCUGAGGAGGAAGCUCCGGCUAACUACGUGCCAGCAGCAGC